rnacentral:misc_RNA from 1 species
AAUCUCUAAGCCCAUUUGGGGUUUGUGUCUGGGCGCUCGCCUCCUAGGCGUCGCCUCAAAGCCAUCUGUCUUAUGAGCGGACGAGAUCCUUUUGGACUGACCGUUUGUGAGACCUAAAAUCUCUG